UGCUCCCUCCCUUGAUCCCUACCUAUCCCUAGGUCGUCUCCCCCUCUCCAAACGCCGCCGCAGCCGCCGCACCCUAGUUCUCGAUCCGGGUUUGAUGCGGUGUCUCCCAGCGAUGGCCUCCUCCUCACGCCGUCGCCCUCGCCCUCAUCCUCCUACUCAAGAGGUCACCGUCGCCUCCCUCGCCCGCAGCCAUGAUCCGAUCUGGCGUUGGCGCCGCAAAUUGCCCUCACGACUCAAGUCUCCUCUUGUCUCCUCUCUCAGGACAUCUCUCUCCCCCCGCGGCUCGCUGCCGCCGCACCGCCAGGCCGAUUCCAGCGAGUACCGGCGGCGGGUAGCAGAUCAACGACCUCCCCUCGCCCCGCUCCUUCCUCCCAUCCCUCCAGAUCCGUCGCUAGGGGCCUCCCACGCUCGCUCCGUCGACCUUGCCCACAUGGCAGAUCGCCGCUGCUGGCCGAGGCCGGCGUUCUACCGGUGAGCGGAGCGGCCAUGGCUCGGCUCGUUCGACCCUCACACAUCUCUAUGAUCCGGAUGGCAAGGCGGCAGCCGCCAUCCAGCGACUUGACUGCCCAGGUGUAAAGGAAGAUUAAUGGCUGGAUGGACCUACAGAACCGUCAAGUUAAUCAGCAGGGGUGGCGACCACCUCAGGGCAGAGGCUGCGGGCGUCGCUCAAUGGAGACGCCAUUUUUGGCUGGCAUGACGUUGAUGUUUCCCGCAAGAACCUCCACAGGGUGCACCUGUUAAGCUAAAGAACGUGAAUGAAGAUUAUGGAUAACUUUCUUCGAUAGCAAGGUCUGUACUCUGAACUGAUGCAUUAUGUAGCAACACUCUUGUGAUGUUUGCUUGAUGAUAUAGCAACAAUAUUACUUCAUUUUACUAAAUAAUGCAUACCGGUAUACCACUAUGUACCUUAAUUGUCUUUCAUCUUUCCAUAUCUCUUCAUGUGUGUUAUUUUGAGCCGAUUUAAUCGUACCCAUCAUUGUUACUAUGAUUGCUAAGUUCCUUUCAUUCGACGAGUUUGCUACGGUCUAGCGACGGGGAUGCAAGGAGAAGCUGAUGCGGGUUCAAGGGGCCAUGAGGAUGCCCAACAUGAAGGUGCUCAACAAUCAGGGCAUCCAGGAUGAUGGAGGUGAUGCCGGCCAGGUCCCCUUUGCCGUCGACAUCUUCUACGACGGGCCCCGUAGGGCAAGACUGUCGGCUGCUCAUCACAGUGGCGGCGGCCACGGAGACCUCUUCCAUGGCGUCGGUGGGGCCUUCCCCUGUCAAGCGCAUCGGCUCCUUGGCUGGAUCACGGGGAUACACACCCCAACAAACAUAACCGACUGGCCUGCUCACCGGUGUGACUAACUUCUCUUUACGUGCCCCGGCAUGCUUCCUCACAGCUGACACUGGCGCCCCCACAAUCCAUCGGCCUCUCCUCGCCUUCACGUGCCAAUCGCCCAUGCCUCGCAGCCGCUGUAGCAUGUGCUUACCCGUGCGAACCAGUGCCGAGAACCACGGGCAUCGAGUAGAUCCGUCAUCUUUUGGGACGGCCACCACCACCAAGGACCAACGUGACCACUUCCGGACAGGGGGUCGGGUUUCUUACACGUCCUCUAUCAAGGUGCUUGCCCUGUCCGCAAUGACACUAUUCUGAGUACCUCAAUCUUGUGGCAACCUCCUGGUAUGUCUUCUGUCUGAUCCAUGGUCUUCUCAUCCUCUUUCGUUUCUGAUUAGCAUGAUUAUCUUUUAGUCUGUUAGAAUUAUAUAUUGGAAGAGAGGAUCAAGGAUAACCACCAGGUAUAGCAUUUGGUUGGAUUGAUGUUUCGUCCGCACUGCCACUUCAUUAUUUCCUGUACAGUCCACCUUCACACUCUUGUAAGCUCAACCAAAGAUUUCUGACUAAGUUCUCAUGAUUUAUCAAUAUACAAAAUAUUAAAUUUUGUAGUGUAAAUAAUUGUGUUUCUUUUGUAUGGGUCACCAGGGAUAGGAAACAGAAAGCCACCAGUGGUGAACAACAAGUGCAGAUUUCUAGUCCUUCAGGUGAUUGAUCAUUGUGGUAAUUCAUUCUUUUUUCAGAAUUUGAUUGCAAUUGGGUUGGAGGGAAGCAACAAAAUUCCUAUCCUGUAAUAUGCAUUUUUGGUGUGUGCCUUGACAGUUGUUCAGGUCGAUACAGAAUUUCAUUCAUGUGGUUUUUUAAGGCACUCAAUUUAACAUUGUUUUUAUUUUUGUCUAAGAGUUGGAUUGCCGUUAAGAUUUGAGACUGAUAUAUGUAGGGGCCUACAAGAUCCAAUUCAUGUUAGUUACCUACUCAGUGCUUACCUAUAAAUCUGUACCUCGGUGCAUCUUUCAUAAAAUGUUAAUUCUGUAAUUUAUAGAAGUGAACAAAUUCCUUAAAGUAGUUCUUACAUGUGCUAUAGACGAUUCAUCAUUGAUGAAAGGUGAAAGGAACAUAGCUGGGAAAUUGAUUUGGGCAUUUAUUGUCGAGAUAGCUAGGUAAUGAAACUGUAGCUGUACAUGAGAGCAGUUGUUCUAUAAGAUAUUGAGAGCUUUACUUUGGGUGCUCAAGUGCAACAAUUACUUCUUCCUGAAGGAUCUUGUUUCUGUCUUUGAUGGGUCUCUACACAUAUGCUUGCAGCAUAUACAAGCUAUUAUUGAUUUUUUUUAGUUUUUAAUGGUCAAAAAUCAUGUUGUUCCUGUUUGCUCUUUAUUAAAAUCUUCCCGGGAUUUAAUUCAGAAAGAAUGAUGCUCCGGACGAUUUAGGUCGUGCUUAGAUAAUAGCAACAAGCAAUGGCGACAAACUUCACCUAAAUGGCCAGUUAGAUAAAUGCUCCUGUACUCACACAUCUCUUACGCCAUUUAGAUUCAUACACACUUUGUAUCAGCAUCACCUGGAAACACGUUUAUGCUGUCACACAUCUGUUGGCAUCUAGCUUUCAUUUCUUUUUGAAUUUUGCUCAGAUUGGAGAUGGGAGAGAGAGCAAGGCUCGGUACUUCUUUACUAACUGUUGAUGCUGCCCUUCGAAGAAGGGAGAGAUACAACAAACGCUUCAGAGUGUUCUAAUGUGCUCAUCAUGUGAUUUUAUUUGAUUAUCUAAUUUAUUCUCGAGACUUUAAAUGGAGUCAAAUCCGCCAGGUCGUGCAUGGGGAUGAGAUUGGAAGACCCGACAGCGUCGGCGAAACAACAUGCUUUUAAUGCUUCAAGGUGGUUUUACAAUCACCAUGCUUUUAAUGCCAGCUUGUCUUUCGAAGUGGGCUAAUUCAGUAGGCUUACUCAAUGUCUCAUGGGUUCAUGUAUUAGGUAUCAUCAACAAGAGUUGGCUGCAGCUGCUAUAUGUAUGUUAUGGAUCAGACAUGUUAUGAAUUACAAUUUUGUUAUCAAUGCUUUAUGUUUAUUGUUUCGUUCCAAUGCAUGAGUAUUCGUCUUGUUUUAAAAGAAUAGUUUGGAGGCCAUCAAAUCAAGGGUAAAGACAUGGAAAUUAUCACUUCUUGCAUAUGUUAUAGCAUAAAAUGAUUUUUUGUCAAUGUUAAUAUUUGUCAAUUCAUUCUGCAGCAACGGACCCGCUGUGGUAGUAGUAGUGAGGUGGAUAUAUCUGCAAGGACAUGAGACAUGUAGAACCAUUGAAAUAUUUAUAUCCACUAGAUAAAAAUGUACACAUAAGCUCGGUACAUGCUUGGAGAAGGUGCGGCGUUGCGAUGAACAACAGGUUAGCAACACGUGCUUUAUAGGCGAGCCUAUAAAAUAUUAAAAUCGGGAUGUCACUCACUAUUAAGAAACACGAUGCCACAGUCCUGCUUGCAUCUAGGA